rnacentral:lncRNA from 1 species
AUGUUAAGAAAUGAGUCACUGAUGCAGUGCGGGUGUCAAAUCGAACUUCAUUUUCACUUUCCUGUGUCCCUCUCCAGGAGACAGAGCAUCACAUGCAGCAAACUGUGUGAACAGAAGUAUAAUGAGACAGAGCCUAGACACUGUGUGCAUAGCAGCAGUAAUCUACCUGGAAACAAAAAGCUACCAAGAAGUGGAUGUUUAGCAGAAGAUGAAAAGCUGAAACAUCAGAAACACCUUUGUUUCACGGAAAUAACACUAAUUUAGCAAGAGGAAAAAGCUGGCUUUGGAGAAGAAAAAGGUGGCCCCAGCAAACCACAGGUAACAAACAGCUCCUUUGCCCUGGAGUUGAAAGCGAGUAGAAUGAACAGUCAGAGUACCUCAGGGGCUAAAGAGCAUGUUUGGGAUUUGUUCUUGUGAUUAUUUUUAGAUGAUAGUUAGCCUUGUGCUUCUCGUUUCUGGAAUAAGAGUAAUAUUUCUGGGAGACAUUAUAAAAUGUUAGGAAGAUCACAGACUUUUAGACAGAGGGAUCUCAGUAUAAAUUCUAGCUUCUGGCGAGCUAUUUAGUCCCUUUAAGCCUCAGUUUUCUCAACUGUAAAAUGGAGACAAAACAUAUCUACUUUGCAAUGAAAGUGGAAGGAUAAAGGUAGUAACAAUAGCACUUCGCAGGCAGGAGGCACUGUAAGCUUAUUUCACUCAUGUUAUUAGCACACAACCAUCUGAGCUAGGUUCUAUUGGCUCUGCCAUCUUACACAUGGAGUAACUUCUUUUUUUAACUUUUAUUUAAUGAAUAUAAAUUUCCAAAGUACAGCUUAUGGAUUACAAUGGCUUCCCCCCCAUAACUUCCCUCCCACCCACAACCCUCCCCUUUCCCGCUCCCUCUCCCCUUCCAUUCACAUCAAGAUUCAUUUUCAAUUCUCUUUAUAUACAGAAGAUCAGUUUAGCAUAUAUUAAGUAAAGAUUUCAAUAGUUUGCACCCACAUAGAAACACAAAGUGAAAAAUACUGUUUGAGGACUAGUUAUAGCAUUAAAUCACACUGUACAGCACAUUAAGGACAGAGAUCCUACAUGAGGAGUAAGUGCACAGUGACUCCUGCUGUUGACUUAACAAAUUGACACUCUUAUUUUAUGGCAUCAGUAAUCACCCUAGGCUCUUGUCAUGAGUUGCCAAGGCUAUGGAAGCCUUUUGAGUUCACCGACUCUGAUCAUAUUUAGGCAAGGUCGUAGUCAGAACGGAAGUUCUCUCCUCCCUUCAGAGAAAGGUACC